UAACCAUUUCUUCGCUUGAAGGGUACAGC
rnacentral:sRNA from 1 species